UUGAGUUUGAGUAAAAAGAUAUUAUUUAUACAAACUAAGGGUAAAAAAGUGUUUUUAGACCAAAGCUUGGGUGAGAAAAUGUCAUUUACUCUUAAAAUUCUGGUAGAUGAUAGUGUUUUUAGUUCUAACAAUAGUAUUAAAUCAAUCAAUUACAAAAAAAUCAAUUGCUAGCAAGAAAUUAAACAAAGUAACCACAGACAAAAACAUAGAAUUUACAUGGAAAACCUUUACAAACUGAUGCACAUUCUUGUGCUCUUGGCUUUAUCUGUUCUUUCCCAUUGUUAUUCAAAUGAUCCUUUAUAUGAUAUUUUUUUGACUUGACCCAAGUCAUAAUCUUCUUACACUUUUUGCAUUUUGAAAAAGGGAAUUUAAUGGACUUUUAAAUGUGAUACAUGCCCUUGCCAUUAUCCAGACUGCUUUUAGAUUGACCUGAUGCUUUUUAUUGUAGCCAUAUUGAAUCCAGCAUGGCAAAUUGAAAUAGCUGGUAUAUGUAUGUAAUGAUUAAUCAAAUCAUCAUUUGCAGUAUACAAAUUGACAGCAUAUGCAUACAUAUCUAAUUCAGAAAUAUCCGCCCAGAGAAUUUCAUACCAGUGCCAAUUGCAUAGUCAUGCUUGUUGAUUGACAAACGUACGGAGAAGGUGGGACAACAACAGCUGGAGACUCAUCAUCUUGGAGAGGAAACUCGAAACCCUUUGCAGAGACACAUGGUGAAAUCAAGAAUCAAUGUUUUUGAAACCAGUCCAAACGUUAACCCAGUGAAGAGGGCGGUUCAGUCUAUUUGAUGGUUAGGUCCCGCAAGUUGGAUCAGUCGGUCUGAUCCAGUUUUUCGAACCAGGCAAGACAUUUAUAAGGGAAGGCAUUAACUUCUGAAAAAAGCAUGACUAGUCACGGUCUCUCUUAGUAAACAUUAACUUUGGAAGGACGCAGAUUAGAGGAUGAAAAACUGUCAUUUUUAGGACAUUUAUGAUCUGCAAACUUUCUCAUAUGUACAAAUCUACACCUAUAAGUAAAUUAUAUGGCUUCUGCGGUUGUAGCCAGAUUUUUGGUAUUGUUCUUUGAGUUGACUCCAUAUCAAUGAGAUUAUAUGUUUAGAGUCCCAUAUGUUUCUCCAAUAUAGUCAUCAAUGGUGUUUUAGAAGAAUCAUGUUGCAUAAUAAAAUCUGCUUGUAUAUCUGCAGAGUGGUGCUUCUCUUCCAAGUAUGAGAAAGCUUCUUUCAUUUGCUUCUGUUGAUCUUCUUUUAUCUCAGCAUGGUGACUUGGGACCCUCAACACUUGCGCUUUUGUUGAAGUCAAUAACAAUACGUAGGAAAGACUUCUAUAAAUUGGUGCUUGCAAUGACAAUUUGGAAAGUGCACCAUUAGGCAUAAAAAAGGUCAACUUGAGGUGCAUAAUUUGGUUUCAUUUAUUAUAGCCAUUGAAUUUCCAUUAACAUGGUGUUUAAUAGACUAGGGUGGAAUGGUCAAUGUUGUCAUAAUUACACAUCCCACCCAAAUGAGAUUUCCAGCUUUCCAGCUCUGUCGUGGAAUUAGUCUUUUAAUUUAAUAUUAUUUUGGUUUACAGUGAGCAAAACACAAUUUGCUCACGCUAAGCUUUUUAAAAGCAUUGCUGGUCUACUUUCAAGUGAAUAAUUUACAGCUUCCUAAUAUUCAAUGACAUUAUUAAUAUAUUAAGGGAAUCUUUUCAUUAUUGGAAUUCUACAUUUUCAGUCUCGGCCCAUCACAAGUUUUACUUCUAUAACCGAAGGGAGAAGAGAGCUUGCAUGCUGCUAAUGAUUAAGGAGAAAAUCAUCCACAGGAACAAGGGCUCUGACUAUGCAAAAAUAAACCCAGAAAAGAAUUGACAUUGAUUGUGUUAAAUGAAUAUAUGUUUUCCAUUCUUGAUUAUAUGUCUUUGUUUAUUUGUUUGUAAUCAGUUUAUUUCUUUUUUAUAAGACUAAGAUUCUUUAUUAGAAUAUAUUCUAACUGUAUAAAUUGUACAGUUUUCUUU